rnacentral:rRNA from 1 species
CCUACGGGAGGCAGCAGUGAGGAAUAUUGGUCAAUGGGCGUAAGCCUGAACCAGCCAAGUCGCGUGAGGGAUGAAGGUUCCAUGCAUCGUAAACUUCUUUUAUAAGGGAAUAAAGUGCGGCACGAGUGCCUGUUCGUAUGUACUUUAUGAAUAAGGAUCGGCUAACUCCGUGCCAGCAGCCGCGGUAAUACGGAGGAUCCGAGCGUUAUCCGGAUUUAUUGGGUUUAAAGGGUGCGUAGGCGGCCUUUUAAGUCAGCGGUGAAAGGCUGUGGCUCAACCAUAGAAUUGCCGUUGAAACUGGGUGUCUUGAGAAUGUGUGAGGCAGGCGGAAUGCGUGGUGUAGCGGUGAAAUGCUUAGAUAUCGCGCAGAACCCCGAUUGCGAAGGCAGCAUGCC